UGCUGCGUUGUACACAAUGAAGUUGGUCCACAACUCCACUUGAAACAUACAAGAUAAUAUAUUUCAGCUUGGUCGGUCGACCCCGUGACUUUGAACGAAAAGCGCUCGAUACUCGCGAGUCUCAGUUGUCGUUUGUUCAACAUAAUCUUUGGAAAAGACAAGUGGAGAAAUUCUUAUCGCACUUUCUCGAACGAAAAACGUCUUACCAAAACGUCUUUACUUUCUUGCUUUUUUUGUUCAUGAAGCUCACUUAGCAGAUUGAGCUGGUAAUAGAAAUGAACAUCAUGGAACAGUCGAAAAUUUGCCCAAUCAGGGAGGUGAAUGGUCUUGCGGUAGAGUUCAUUGCUGGAAGAAAACUUCGCAUGUGAACACAAGUCUCAAUAUCUGCUCACUCUGCUCCCAGAUUAUUCACUUCUCUGAUUUGGGCGAUUUUAAUUGUUUGUGCUGUUCCAUGUGGUUCAUUUCUUCUGCCAGCUCUGCUCGAAACUCCUUUUCCUUCUCAUGUUUGAAUCAGAGUUCAAAGCAAUGCAGAUCCAUUAUUUCCAUUGUUUCUUCGACUUCUCGAGCUUCAUACAAUUUUGGAUUUGAGCACAAGUCACUCGCUUGAAGGCCAGUGGAAAUCCAAGCAACUACUGAAAGCAUCAACAAUUUCUCAUCACUUUGCUUCAAUAAUAUUAUAUUUUUUUACAAAAAUAGUGACGGAUUUGUGACAAUUCAUUUGGAGGAAAAAAAAAUACUUUCUGUA